CCUACGGGUGGCAGCAGUGAGGAAUAUUGGUCAAUGGACGAGAGUCUGAACCAGCCAAGUAGCGUGAAGGAUGACUGCCCUAUGGGUUGUAAACUUCUUUUAUAUGGGAAUAAAAUGUUCCACGUGUGGGAUUUUGUAUGUACCAUAUGAAUAAGGAUCGGCUAACUCCGUGCCAGCAGCCGCGGUAAUACGGAGGAUCCGAGCGUUAUCCGGAUUUAUUGGGUUUAAAGGGAGCGUAGGUGGAUUGUUAAGUCAGUUGUGAAAGUUUGCGGCUCAACCGUAAAAUUGCAGUUGAAACUGGCAGUCUUGAGUACAGUAGAGGUGGGCGGAAUUCGUGGUGUAGCGGUGAAAUGCUUAGAUAUCACGAAGAACUCCGAUUGCGAAGGCAGUUCACUGGACUGCAACUGACACUGAGGCUCGAAAGUGUGGGUAUCAAACAGGAUUAGAUACCCGAGUAGUU
rnacentral:rRNA from 1 species